UACGGAGGGUGCAAGCGUUGCUCGGAAUCACUGGGCGUAAAGCGACCGCAGGCGGCCUGACAAGUCGGAUGUGAAAGCCCUGGGCUCAACUCAGGAAUUGCAUUCGAAACUGGCAGGCUUGAGUACGGGAGAGGGGGGUGGAAUUCCUGGUGUAGCGGUGAAAUGCGCAGAUAUCAGGAGGAACACCGAUGGCGAAGGCAGGUCUCUGGGCCACUACUGACGCUGAGAAGCGAAAGCAUGGGGAGCGAACAGG
rnacentral:rRNA from 1 species